rnacentral:rRNA from 1 species
ACAACGGAGAGUUUGAUCCUGGCUCAGGACGAACGCUGGCGGCGCGCUUAACACAUGCAAGUCAAGGGUAGCAAUACACUGGCGCACGGGUGAGUAACGCGUAGGUUAUCUGCCCCUAUCACAAGCAUAACGUCGAGAAAUUGGCGCUAAUACUUGAUGAGGCCUCCGGGUCAAAGAUUUAUCGGAUGGGGAUGAGCCUGCGUUAGAUUAGCUAGUUGGUAAGGUAAUGGCUUACCAAGGCGACGAUCUAUAGCUGGUCUGAGAGGACGAUCAGCCACACUGGUACUGAGACACGGACCAG